UACCAGCACCCCGAGUGGUCGGGACGAUUAUUGGGCCUAAAGCAUCCGUAGCCGGUCAUGCAAGUCUUCCGUUAAAUCCAGCCGCUCAACGGUUGGGCUGCGGAGGAUACUAUAGAGCUAGGAGGCGGGAGAGGCAAGCGGUACUUAGUGGGUAGGGGUAAAAUCCGUUGAUCCAUUGAAGACCACCAGUGGCGAAGGCGGCUUGCCAGAACGCACUCGACGGUGAGGGAUGAAAGCUGGGGGAGCAAACCGGG
rnacentral:rRNA from 1 species